ACACGUGAGUAACCUGCCCUUAGCUCUGGGAUAAGCCUGGGAAACUGGGUCUAAUACCGGAUAUGACUCCUCAUCGCAUGGUGGGGGGUGGAAAGCUUUUUGUGGUUUUGGAUGGACUCGCGGCCUAUCAGCUUGUUGGUGAGGUAAUGGCUUACCAAGGCGACGACGGGUAGCCGGCCUGAGAGGGUGACCGGCCACACUGGGACUGAGACACGGCCCAGACUCCUACGGGAGGCAGCAGUGGGGAAUAUUGCACAAUGGGCGCAAGCCUGAUGCAGUGACGCCCCGUGAGGGAUGACGGCCUUCGGUUUGUAAACCUCUUUCAGUACGGAAGA
rnacentral:rRNA from 1 species